rnacentral:rRNA from 1 species
AACGAACGCUGGCGGCAGGCCUAACACAUGCAAGUCGAGCGCCCCGCAAGGGGAGCGGCGGUCGGGUGAGUAACGAGUGGGAAUAUGCCCUUUGCUACGGCAUAGUCUCGGGAAACGGGGGGUAAUACCGUAUACGCCUUAUGGGGGAACGAUUUAUCGCCGAAGGAUUAGCCCGCGUUGGCUUCGGUCGUUGGUGGGGUAAUGGCCUACCAAGCCGACGAUCCAUAGAUGGUUUGAGAGGAUGAGCAGCCACACUGGGCCUGGGACACGGCCCAGACUCCUACGGGAGGCAGCAGUGGGGAAUCUUAGACAAUCGGGGCAACCCUGAUCGAGCCAGGCCUCGUGAGUGAUGAUGGCCGGAGAGUUGUAAAGCUCGUUCAGCUGGGAAGAUAAUGACGGUACCAGCAGAAUAAGCCCCGGCUAACUCCGUG